ACAUAACACAUGCAAAAUUAGUUAUUGGUUAUUAAAAGUUAACUUUUACAAUAGUCUUCUUAAAAUUUAGCAAGCAUGGCUUUGAACGGAAGCAACGAUAUAUAUUCCCAAAAUUACGGCGGUACCGGUGGGUUAACAGGUCAAUUCAAGCCCUUUUCGUCUCCAUAUUUAAACUUCGAUCCCGGCUACAUCCCUCAAACGCAGCCUGAGUUUAUUUUCCUGGAUGGCGGUAGCAAACAAAGGGGUCGGUUCGAACUGGCUUUUGGUCAAAUUGGGGGCUCAUGUAUGAUUGGUGCUGGACUGGGGGGCGCUUCGGGUCUUUACAACGGAUUGAAAGCAACUACAUUAGCGGGCCAAACAGGAAAACUUAGAAGAACACAAUUAUUGAAUCACAUCAUGAAACAGGGUAGCGCUACUGCUAAUAGUUUCGGAUCUGUAGCAGUGAUUUAUUCAGCGUUUGGAGUUAUACUUUCAUGGGCUAGGGGCGCUGAUGAUGAUCUCAACACGAUAGUUGCGGCAACAGCCACAGGCUGUUUAUAUAAAGCAACAGCUGGCUUGAAGAAAUGUGGCAUGGGUGGAGCAGUAGGAUUAGGCGCAUCUCUCCUCUACGCUGUUUGGAAUAAUCGAGACAAAAUAUCUGAAAUUGGCCGUUUUAAUCCAGCGUAAGAUGCCUGCUUUCCAAAGGCGUUUUUUUACCUAGACUAGUUUUAAAUUUGAAUAGGCAAAGGUAAGACAGGCCACGGGUACCACAAGAACGAGAAAAUUGUAACUUCCCCUGUAAAUAAAUAUAUUUAUGAAGAUUUGUGAUAGUCAGUUGUAUAAAAUUAAAUAAAUUAGUGCUAUUUUCCUUUC